rfam:Picea glauca, whole genome shotgun sequence.
UCAUAGGAUUUUUUUAAAUCCAUUUUCAUCACCAAUGACAUAAUGU